rnacentral:rRNA from 1 species
AUUGAACGCUGGCGGCAUGCUUUACACAUGCAAGUCGAACGGCAGCGCGGGCUUCGGCCUGGCGGCGAGUGGCGAACGGGUGAGUAAUGCAUCGGAACGUGCCCAGUAGUGGGGGAUAGCCCGGCGAAAGCCGGAUUAAUACCGCAUACGACCUGAGGGUGAAAGCGGGGGACCGAAAGGCCUCGCGCUAUUGGAGCGGCCGAUGUCGGAUAAGCUAGUUGGUGGGGUAAAGGCUUACCAAGGCGACGAUCCGUAGCUGGUCUGAGAGGACGACCAGCCACACUGGGACUGAGACACGGCCCAGACUCCUACGGGAGGCAGCAGUGGGGAAUUUUGGACAAUGGGGGCAACCCUGAUCCAGCCAUGCCGCGUGCGGGAAGAAGGCCUUCGGGUUGUAAACCGCUUUUGUUCGGGAAGAAAUCCUCUGGGCUAAUACCCCGGGGGGAUGACGGUACCGGAAGAAUAAGCACCGGCUAACUACGUG